GGCAAGUGCAUUCAUGUGUAGGUGUUGA
rnacentral:piRNA from 1 species